CAUUAUGAAGCUAACUUAGCAUUAACCUUUUAAGUUAAAGAUUAGGAGACCAACCUCCUCAUAAUGA
rnacentral:tRNA from 1 species